rnacentral:lncRNA from 1 species
AGUGGCCGAACAAGAUGAUCUGCCAGCAUGAUAGAGAAAAGGAAAAAGCAUUCAUGCAAUACCAAUACAAAAACCAUUGUGUUUUUAAUUUCUCCUUUAAUUUCUUUUUUGACAGGUAGGGCGUUUAAAUUGAUUGGUGUUAUUAGAAAUGAAAAUGUAUAACCAUGUUUAGUUGGUAGAGAAAAACACUCAAAUGAGUGCUUACCUUUCAGGAUCCCAUGAGUUACUGGAACAGGUCCACUUGGAAGGAAGAAGAACAUCGGAAGGCAAUCUACGCCACUUAAAACAAUCUUCACACUGAGCCCACUGGAUCUUUUCCCUGAC